rnacentral:rRNA from 1 species
AUUGAACGCUGGCGGCAUGCUUUACACAUGCAAGUCGAACGGCAGCGCGGGCUUCGGCCUGGCGGCGAGUGGCGAACGGGUGAGUAAUGCAUCGGAACGUGCCCAGUAGUGGGGGAUAGCCCGGCGAAAGCCGGAUUAAUACCGCAUACGACCUGAGGGUGAAAGAGGGGGACCGAAAGGCCUCGCGCUAUUGGAGCGGCCGAUGUCGGAUUAGCUAGUUGGUGGGGUAAAGGCUUACCAAGGCGACGAUCCGUAGCUGGUCUGAGAGGACGACCAGCCACACUGGGACUGAGACACGGCCCAGACUCCUACGGGAGGCAGCAGUGGGGAAUUUUGGACAAUGGGGGCAACCCUGAUCCAGCCAUGCCGCGUGCGGGAAGAAGGCCUUCGGGUUGUAAACCGCUUUUGUUCGGGAAGAAAUCCUCUGGGCUAAUACCCCGGGGGGAUGACGGUACCGGAAGAAUAAGCACCGGCUAACUACGUG